AACAUGUCUUUUUGAAAUUAAUUUUAAGUCUAAUCUGCUCCAUGAUGUAAAAAUUUAAUAGCUGCAGUAUUCUGACUGUACAAAGGUAGCAUAAUCAAUAGUUUUUUAAUUAAAAGCUGGAAUGAAUGAUUGAAUAAGAUAAUAAUUGUCUCAAAUUUAAUUAUUAAAAUUUUUUUUUAAGUUAAAAUACUUAAAUAAAUUUAAAAGACGAGAAGACCCUAUAGAGUUUAAUAUUUUAAUAUUUUAAAUUAUUAAAAUAAUAAAAUAAUAAUAAAAUUUAUAAAAUAUUUGGUUGGGGAAAUUGUUAAAUUAAUUAAAUUUUAAUGUUUAAUAAACAAAAAUUAUUGAAUAAUUGAACUUAAAUAUUUAAAUUAAAAGAAUAAAUUACCUUAGGGAUAACAGCGUAAUUAUUUUGGAGAGACCAUAUUAAUAAAAUAGUUUGCGACCUCGAUGUUGAAUUAAGAUAAAAUUUUAAUGUAGAAAUUAAAUAUUUUUGGUCUGUUCGACCAUUAAAAUCUUACGUGAUCUGA
rnacentral:rRNA from 1 species